rnacentral:rRNA from 1 species
UCCAGAGGGGGCAAGCGUUAUUCGGAAUUAUUGGGCGUAAAGGGCGCGUAGGCGGCCUGACAAGUGGAAGGUGAAAUCCCUCGGCUUAACCGAGGAACUGCCCUCCAAACUGUUGGCUUGAGACCGGGAGAGGUGAGUGGAAUUCCCAGUGUAGCGGUGAAAUGCGUAGAUAUUGGGAGGAACACCAGUGGCGAAGGCGGCUCACUGGACCGGUACUGACGCUGAGGCGCGAAAGCGUGGGGAGCAAACGGG